GUUUUGUAGGAGUUGAAAGACUGAAACAGCGUCGUAUUAGGACGAUGAGCUAUCAUCAUCUGCCACUCUUUCUCAGUUUCUCCGUCUCUCGCCGGCGAUCGAUUCGCCGAAAAGCCCCACUACCCAGGGUAAAGCACAGAGGCUUCUUCACCGAACCAAGGCUCUAUUGUGAAACUGGUCUGAUCUCCCUUCACAAACACCGCGUGGUUUAUAGACUUGAAAACAUCGAUGGGAACUGGAGAGUACGCAAAAAGAACAUAUCUUUUAAUUCAGCAAAUGAAAAAAAAUGGUAAUAAAGAAUUUAAACGACUUCUUGGUGAAUUGUGGUAUGUUAUUAAUUUCUAACCUUGGAUGCUUUUAAGGAUUUGCUCUUCUGAUAUGUGAGUCUUCUCAAGAGACUUGCCGAUCUUUUUCUCCCACAAGGUGACCAUUUCGUUCAUCGAUAAAAUGUUGUUAGGAGGACUAAUGUAGAGGGUUUUGUUCAGAGUCCUUAGAUCAUCCACCGCCUUGAUCAUGAGGAACAUUUUUGUCGCCAAAGAUGAUGGCCUUGUCUCUAGUAUGAGAAAUGAGACCAGACUCGAACUGAAGUAACGUACGCAAGUAAAAACCGGCAGAGCAAUUGCUAACAACGUAAGUGUAUGGUAUUCCUUCAGCUUCAAUGGCUCUCCUGAUCUGUACCUUCCCUGCAAAUAAUGAUUUUGCCGGCUCAACCGCACUGGUCCUCUCAACGUCUAUCCCAAACUCAGCCGGCAAGAAUCUCUGCAAAGCAAAAACUAUAAAUCUAGUUUGAAUCAAAUACCAACCUUGACGUUACCAGCUUCUUUAAUGGCGGAAAUGAUCUUGGUUUGAUCAAAGAUUUGCUUGUGCCCGAUGGUUGAUAUCACCACAUCAACCUGUUUAAUGGCCUUAACUAAGCUCUCAUGAUCAUUCAAAUCUCCCUGUCCAAGUUACAUAACUAGGUUAUGGUUUUGAGUUUGUAUGAAACAUGUUAGAGAGUGAGAGUUCAUGCAUACGUGUAGUAUUGUGACACCGAGAUCUUUGAAGCUCUGGAUGGUUUUGCUCUUGACAGGAUCAGAGAGAGAUGCUUCUCGGACAAGAGCGAAUGUUGGGUUACCGGCUUUCGCGCUCCCUUCAACGAUGAAUUCUCCCAUGUAACCAGUCCCUCCGAUCACCAGAAUCUUGCUUUUCUCCGUCGUCAUGUUUCAAACGUGGUAAUGACUAAUGAUUGUGUGUACUACUAAAUUCAAUAAUGCUGUGGAAUUUGAGUGGCGUUGGCAAGGCAAUUUAUGGACAGAAUUUGUUGGUUGAUUGACAACAAUACCCUCACUCAACAUCUCAUGUGGUGCAUAGAUGUUGACUCCCAUGAUAAACAUGUUAUGCUCGUUAAAUCCAAAUUUUCUCAUUUGACCAUAUGUAAAAUUGUGAGAUAUUUUGUGGUUUUACACAGCUUUAUAGACCGUAAAAAUGGCUUAAAGAUGGAUGCAUAUAGAGAUAAAGCACUGUGAUUAGUCACACACAUUGCAAGAAUCAUUUUUUAUUGAUACAAACAUGAAAGCAGCUAGCGUUAUGGUGGUAAAUUAGGUGUUUAAUGAAGUUCCUAAAGCGAAAUAACUGAGAUACUCAUCAAUACUCGUGUACUUGAU
rnacentral:lncRNA from 1 species